rnacentral:rRNA from 1 species
UACGUAGGGUGCGAGCGUUAAUCGGAAUUACUGGGCGUAAAGCGUGCGCAGGCGGUUUUGUAAGCCAGAUGUGAAAGCCCCGGGCUUAACCUGGGAAUGGCAUUUGGGACUGCAAGGCUUGAGUGCGGCAGAGGAGACUGGAAUUCCUGGUGUAGCAGUGAAAUGCGUAGAUAUCAGGAAGAACACCAAUGGCGAAAGCAGCUCUCUGGGACGGUACUGACGCUGAGACGCGAAAGCGUGGGGGAGCGAACAGG